GACGAACGCUGGCGGCGUGCUUAACACAUGCAAGUCGAGCGGAGCGGCGAACGGGUGAGUAACGCGGGAGUAACUGCCCCCCUCUCUGGGAUAACAGUUGGAAACGGCUGCUAAUACCGGAUAGUGGGGGAUGAUUCGCGUCCUAUCAGCUUGUUGGGGGGGUGAUGGCCUACCAAGGCGGUGACGGGUAGCCGGCCUGAGAGGGUGACCGGCCACGUUGGGCUGCGAUACGGCCCAGACUCCUACGGGAGGCAGCAGUGGGGGAUAUUGCACAAUGGGCGAAAGGCUGAUGCAGCGACGCCGCGUGGGUGAUGAAGGCUUUCGGGUUGUAAGCCUCUUUCGCUAUCGAAAGGGUAGGUAGAGAAGAAGCGCCGGCUAACUACGUGCCAGCAGCCGCGGUAAUAC
rnacentral:rRNA from 1 species